CACCGCCCCCGGCCCAAUAGCAGCGGUGCGGGGAGGAGCCGGACCCGCCCCGGUCCGCCCCUGCGCCGCACCGAGCAGGAAGCCCCCCGCCCCCCGAGCCUCACAGGCCCUCGUCCAGGCCGCCCACCCCCGGGACGCGUUGGCCCUGCGCCCGGGCCCCACCUGAACCCCCCCCCCCCCCAACUCCGGGACGACGGCCGGCUUCCCCACGCCACGUUGCGAGGAGGGGGGACAGAGGGGGUGCGGCUCCAGUCCUGGGCCCUGAACGUCCCUUCCCAGUCCUGGGGGCUGGGUGUGCCUGGGGGCGAAUGGGGGUCAGCACUGCCACGGGCCCAGCCGGACGCGGGUCCCGUCCGGGGCGCUCAGCCUAGGCCCCGAGAGCGGGGGAAGGCCCCCGGAGGGGCUCCGCCCCCGCCCCCCCAACUUCCGAACGGCAGGAAAACCCACAGUACAUCGUGUCUCCGUGGGGAGGGGAAAUGUGGCAGCCGCCGGUUCCUGCCUGGGCGAGGUUUUCCGCGAGGCUCCCCCCCCAGGCUCCUUCUGAGCUCUGGGCCUCGUUGGAAAAAACAAAAACAACUUACUCACUGGCUAGGCCGGCGCGGUUCCCGGUUUCUCUGCCACGGGCUGGGAGCUCACCCCGGCUCCAGAGGCGGCGGGUGGCACGGCCUGACGGGGCAGGCCCGCGGCCACCUUCUCUCCCCGCCGCCGCAGGCCCCGCUCCUUGCGGGCAGCCUCGGCGGCCCCAGACGCCCUCAACCCAGGCCCCGGGGAGCCGGCUUCAACCCAACCAAAGCGACAUCCUCUCUGCUCUCCUCACCCUGGGCUUCUCCGCCCGGCCUGGUCAGGACGGGCUCCCCUCAGCGCUCCGGGAUGGGGGCGCCUCCUCCCUCUCCGCCCGCAGCAAGCGGGACCGGGCCCCGCGGCGCGGCUAAGGCUCACAGGGCCCGAAGCCCCCGGGGUAGGGCAGUGGCGACACUCCUGGGGCAGAGCGUGCCACUCCUGCUGUCGUAUCAAUUGUUUGUUAAUGGAGGCAGGUCAGAACUAAAAAAUAAUCGGAAGGGAUUUCCAUCGACUGGACCAGCCGCUCCACGGAAUCCCGAGUGCUUUAAUGUGGCAGGAAGAGGCGAGAAAGCUGUUCCCAUCUCCCUUCGGUACCUAAUCCGACCAAAGGCAGGCCCGCUAGGCCCCUGCCCACCAGCACACGUGGGCCCAAACUGUAGUAAAACUCGGGGAGUGGAGCCUUGCCUGGGUGGCUUGGCGGGGCAUAAAGAACAAGCCCAGGGCCGCACCUCGUCGUGGUAG
rnacentral:lncRNA from 1 species